rnacentral:snoRNA from 1 species
AAGGCCUUAUACAGAAUCAUUUCUGUAGUGUGUGUUUCGCUGUCCCAACCAAAGGGCGACACCUGUCCACCGCGAUGAAAGGGAGACGGGCGAGUUGCGAGCGGGAAGAACGCGCUCCAGCGCUGAGGAUCGUGAGGAGCCCUUCGGGGAGCCUCAGCGACUCGCUCUUCUGAGCGGU